rfam:Izhakiella sp. D4N98 NODE_3_length_385030_cov_109.747_ID_1919, whole genome shotgun sequence.
AUUUUAUUUUCGGCCCUGUAUAGCGGAUAAUCACGCCCCGACUUGCAUCGGGAACUCAGGAGAGUACAUGGUC